rnacentral:lncRNA from 1 species
UAUGAUGUCACGGUACAAUAUAUAAUGCUGUGAAUUUUAUAAUAAUUAUACUACAAUUUUAAUUAUAUUUAUUAGUAUGGUUAAACUAGAACAUAUUUCUGGCACUCGUCCUUUUGUAGAUGUUUUUCCUGACACGAGUCUCAAGAAAGUUAAUCCUUGGGGCGAGCUGUAAAAGGCAAAUUCAGACAAGCAGGAGUAUCGUGACACGUGGGAUAAGAUCGUAAAAGACAGCAAAGAAGACCCGGAUGUUUUAAGCAAAAGUGAGGAAACACAAGUAGAGAAAGUUAAGAGAGGUAACUACGCUUUCAUCCGUGACGAUGCUUCCAUGCGAAGAUACAUGAAAGAAAACUGUGGAUUGCAAAGGCUCGGGGUGUCUCUGGAUUGGCAGCCGGUCUCUAUAGGGGUCCCCAAGAAUUCUACGUUGAAGUAUACAUUUGGAAAAGUCAUGAAGAGAAUGGAGACCUCUGGUAUCUAUGAAUAUUGGUGGUAUUUGCAUAUGGCAGCUAUUAAAACCCCCGUCUGUCCGACCAGGAAGCGACCUGCCACCUCCAGUAUAACCUUGGACGACAUCAAAAGUAUCUUUGUUAUUCUUGGAGUGGGCAUAUUUGCUUCAGUGCUUGUACUAGCAUUGGAAAUUUUGUGGAGUGUAUUCAUGUGUCAAAACUGAAGAGAAAGAUUAAAUAAAUAAAAUAUAACGUUAAAGAAAACCAGACGGAGACGUUUGCACACCUAUAAUGGUAGUAUAGUAUGACUGUAUGCGGUUUUUUCAAAGUGAUGACAUGUAUCGAUCAUUGAGCUGCAAUCUCGCUUCACCAUAAUAUAACAUCAUUUCUUAAUGCAAAUACAAACACAACUACAUACAAAUGUUUUAUUGUCAUUUACAUUCGUGCAACACAGAAGCCUGUCGACGUUCAUAUUACUUUGUAGAAAACAGUACCUCGCUUUUGAGUGUUAAACAUUUUAUAUCAAAGGCUAACAACCAGAAUUGAUUUUCAAUUGUAACAUUUCUUUGAACGUUUUACAUGAUCUGGAAAUAUGAACAAAAAGCAGUUUUAUUUAUUUAUUCAAGUUUAAUAGCUUUCCAUCGCUCCUAAUACAUGCACAUUCCCCAAACUUAACUACAUUUUGGAAAACAGAAAGAAGGAACACGAUAAGUAGUGAACUACUGUCAUUUUUGUAACGAGUGGACAUGUAACAGGGGCAUAGCGUGAUCUGGACCUGUGUGUGUGUGUGUGUGUGUGUGUGUGUGUGUGUGUGUGUUCGAAUAUUCAUGAACCAUGUGGACCCUUUUUCUAUUUCGUCCGAACUCUUCGAACCCCCUUCCCAGCCUACGCCCCUGCCGUAAGUUGAUGUAACCAAUUCUGACGACACAUAUUUGAAGCUUACAUAGCGCCACGAUAUCGUAAAACUAUCGUAAGCUAUGACGUCAUUAUGACGUGAGUCGUAGUGACGUCAUAGCUUACGAUGAUUUUACGAUAUCGUAGCGCUAAGAUUGCUUCGAAAAUCUCUAACCAGGUUGUCGGUCCUCGAUAUGACCCAUAUUAGCGAGUGUAGGUACAUGAUAUCGAAGAAUAGCGCACGUCUGUUAGAACAUUAACGUGGAUGGUCUGUUCUAUAUGCUAAAAUUAAUCAUUUUAAAUGAUAUACAGUUACACGACACUGCAACUUUAACAAACUCGCUUUUUCAAUUUUUGCUUUGUGACUCGUCAAUGUCUUUAUCUUUCAACUGCUUCACAAGUGUUAUAUUGCAAUGUUUCUUCUUUAGAUGUGCACUGUUGUUUGUAUGCACUGUAAUAUAUGUAUGUGUGAAACAGGCGGUGAAAUGAUCCAAAUAAACAUAUUCCUAUA